rnacentral:misc_RNA from 1 species
GAAAUGCGAUAAGUAGUGUGAAUUGCAGAAUUCAGUGAAUCAUCGAAUCUUUGAACGCACAUUGCGCCCGCCAGUAUUCUGGCGGGCAUGCCUGUUCGAGCGUCAUUUCAACCAUCAAGCCCCCGGGCUUGUGUUGGGGACCUGCGGCUGCCGCAGGCCCCGAAAACCAGUGGCGGGCUCGCUGUCACACCGGGCGUAGUAGAUUUUUCGUCUCGCCCAGGGCGUGCUGCGGGUUCCGGCCGUUAAAAAGCCUCUCUUUUAACCCAAGGUUGACCUCGGAUCAGGUAGGAAGACCCGCUGAACUUAAGC